GAGAUGUGGGGAGAGACGGCGAGAUGUGGGGAGAGACGGCGAGAUGUGGGGAGAGACGGUGAGAUGUUGGGAGAGACGGUGAGAGAUGGAAGACCAACUGACCAACAGACCAGUGUAUAUUUACUCACCCACAGAGUUGUUUAAAGACUGUUGUACGGUGGAGUCUAUAAAUAGGUAAAAGGUAUUCUAACAAACGUAGCAUACCCCCCCCAAGGUCUCCAUAGCCUCAUUACCUGACUGGUUACCAGGAGGUAUCAGACUCCGACACCGACUAGGGGGAGGUAUCAGACACCGUCACCGACUAGGGGGAGGUAUCCGACACCGUCACCGACUAGGGGGAGGUAUCAGACACCGACUAGGGGGAGGUAUCAGACACCGACUAGGGGGAGGUAUCAGACACCGACUAGGGGGAGGUAUCCGACACCGUCACCGACUAGGGGGAGGUAUCCGACACCGUCACCGACUAGGGGGAGGUAUCCGACACCGUCACCGACUAGGGGGAGGUAUCCGACACCGUC
rnacentral:lncRNA from 1 species